rnacentral:lncRNA from 1 species
GAUUCAUCACCCAUCCACAGUUUUUUCCUUUUUGGAAUCCAUUGAACUGGAAAAAAAAACUACAAUGUGAGCUGAAAGUAUGAAAACAACAUAUAUCUGAAAGAAUAAAGAACUAGCUCUAACAUAUCUAUGAAAGAAUACACCUCCAAGGAACUAGCUUUGAACAUAUCUCUGAAAGAAUAGAGAGCAUGCAAAGUUCAAGGAAAGAAUAAGCAAAAUGGCACACUAGUAUGCAGUAGUACGAGUCCAGUCUUGUACGUGUUAGUAUUAUAUUUGAAUAGUAGCUAGAAUUGAAGUUCAGGUAACCAUGGCACACACAUAGCUUCAGUCAUGUACACACACACUGUAAUAGUAGCUGCAAUUAAAGUUCAAAUAACCACAGCAUCCAUAACAGAACAAGAAUCAGGCUAGCAGCUAGGCAAGCAAGCUUCAGCGGCAUGAAUACACAUCAGCGGCAAGCUAGAACACGCUAGUAGGCUGUAGAAGUCUCCUUGUAAAUUUUCAAACAGAAGUGCUUCAGUUCAGUUCAGUAGUAAUGCAUGGAAAAAUAAAAGCAAUGGAAUAAACUAUAACUGAGCCAAAUAUGUAAUUUCAACAAACUAGACCUCAUUGCUUGACUUUAGCAGUAAUACACGAUCAUCAGUUCAAUAUAAACAGACUGAUGUUAACAUCACCAAUAUGUUGUCCGUCCAACCUCCCUUGGGCUGCAGUUCCAAUAGAAAACAAAUUAGUAAGAUAAAGAGCAUUAGAGAGGAAAGAGAUAGAACGGGUGCAUGGACUGCCGCUGGUUUUCUUGUUGAACCGCAGCUGAAGAAACUCCUACAGGCUACAAGUCGUAAUGAAGAGAAAACGGAGAUGAGGUUGUGUGGCGGCGGCGCUGAAUGUAAAGGAGCUUCGGGAUCUAUCGUGUGACGCGCGGCUGGUCACCGGAGCGAGCGCCGGGCGAGCGAGUAGGGUCGCCGGAGGGGAGCGGGGAGGGGGGAUCCAAGGACCAGGGGCGCCAUGCAUG